GAUUUAGCGUGAGCUGAUCUCACACACUUUCUUCAUCUCUCCCUCUCAGAGUACACAGAUGAUGACAGUUCAAUCCCCAAAGGCUCCUCCGUCAUCGUCAGGAGAAUCCCAAUCAUUGGAGGAAAAUCCAGCAGCAGCAAGACCCGCAACGUUGAGCGAUCAGAUGUCCAGCACCACGCCUUCGGAGCCUACAAAGCAGUACGUAACCAAACUCCUGCAGCUCCACUAAACACACACGUUGUUAGCGUGUCCUAAUAUCUCUCUUUGAACAUACAUUGAGUGUGUGCUUCGGUGUGAAAUGAAACCACAAUGUAGAUCACUGAAAGCCUCUAAUUUCCUGUACUGCAGUUUAAGUUCCUGUUGCAAAGAGGAAGUAGUGCGCUUCUCAGGAUUUGAUUUACAGGGAGUUGCUGCUCUGAGAUAAAAUCAUAUUUUACAAUGAAAAUAACAAUAGUUAUUAAAAAGUAGAGCUGCCCCCUGAAAGUCAAAUAUUCGAAUCAUCAGCCGGGGAGCCCUCAGUCGACUGAGAUUCUUCAAGCCGAGCAGUCGUUAUUUGUAAGCGUUUUGCCAGUCAGAGUGAGCACUCCUCGCGUUCACGCUGCUCUCCGGGGUGAAAGCCUUCCACUACAUCAAGUCGGCCCAUUCGCUCAAUGAAAAUGUCAGCAACGGGUACAGGCCGUUAUUAUUAUACAUCCAUGGUACAGGCAGCAUGGUGGCCCUAUGGUUAGCACUGUGGCCUCACAGCAAGAAGGUUCUGGGUUCCCCCACCAUCAAAAUGUAUUAUGUAAUGUACUAGGUUCUCCAGUCAGUGCCCUUGAUCAAGG
rnacentral:lncRNA from 1 species